rnacentral:rRNA from 1 species
UACGAAGGGGGCUAGCGUUGCUCGGAAUCACUGGGCGUAAAGCGCACGUAGGCGGCUCUUUAAGUCGGGGGUGAAAUCCUGGAGCUCAACUCCAGAACUGCCUUCGAUACUGUAGAGCUUGAGUUCGGGAGAGGUGAGUGGAACUGCGAGUGUAGAGGUGAAAAUUCGUAGAUAUUCGCAAGAACACCAGUGGCGAAGGCGGCUCACUGGCCCGAUACUGACGCUGAGGUGCGAAAGCGUGGGGAGCAAACAGG